GGGUCAGCUGGUCCUGCCGGUGUUCUCAACUCCGGGCUGCCCUCUUUUGGGCCACCACGACCGUCGGCUGUAGCCCAAGCCUGCCUUGGAGGGCAUUCGUUCUGCCAGCUGCGGGGGUGACGGUCUUAUUUUACAGAAGGGAAGCCUGAGGGUGUGGUGGGUAAAAGGUCGUUGACGGGUCGGUACGGCGAGUCGUGCCGUCCGCUCGCUGCGGCUGGAACGAAUUCUGACUCCUGCCUCACGCCUGUCCUGUCCGCCUCGCGUGGUGGUGAUCCCCUUUUCUCGGUUUUGCUGCCUCAGGCUUCUACAAUCCCUCCCUAUUAUGUGGACGAAGGGCUUCUGCCUUCCAGGGAAGGUGAAUGAAACCAGUGUUUCAUCACCAUCUCCUCCAUCCUGACUUCCUGGGGUGUGUGCCAAGGUGCAGCUGAAAACCAUGAAAUCUACACCCAGCGUGGGGCUCAAACUUACAAACCUGAGAUCAAGCUUUCUACCAAGCCCGUGAACAAGGCAGUUCUCUCCGUCCUGUGCCUCGGAGCUCUUCUCCCACAGCUAUGUUCACAGGCAUUGCUCGUGUCUGUCUGAUGCAAGAGAAUUCAUCUCUAUGUCUGUGUUCCAGCCAGAAAGAAGGACGAAGAGGAUAAAAAAGGAUUUUUCCCCUUGAAGAAAUGACCUGGAAGUUACAGACAUCACUUCUCUUCAUACCCCAUUGUCAAGAACUCAGAGUUAUGGCUGCACAAGAGAGACUGGAAAAUUUGAUGUUUAUUUUGAGAAGACCUAUGUUCAGCUAAAAAUUAUGGGAUUUAUUACUAUGGUGAAAAGGAUAAUGCAUAUGGGAACAACUGGCAACUGCUGCCACAGUCCAGCCUUUGUUACCCGAGCAUCUGCAUGUACCCAUCUUCCCAACCGUCCCAACACCAGAGGGGACAAUGCUACUGCCCAUUGUCGUUACUGAAUCCAACUCAGAGUUCAGAAUCGCUGGGUAAUGCACUGUCCUCUCUGUUGGGUCUAGAUGUGGUUCAUGCUCGGGCAGGGACUUAAAAAGUACAUUGCACCGCUAGGUAUUAUUCAAAGGACACAAAAAUAGUGAUUCGAAGGGGCACAUGCACCCCAGUGUUUAUAGCAGCAAUGUCCACUACAGCCAAACUUUAGAAAAAUCCCAGAUACCCAUUGAGAGAUGAAUGGAUAAAGAAGAUGUGGUGUGUACACACACACACACACACACACACACACAAACACACACACACGCAAUGGAAUAUUACUCAGCCAUCAAAAGGAUGAACUCUUGCCAUUUGCAACGAUGUAAAUGGAGAUAGAGGGCAUUAUGCAAAGCUAAGUAACUCAGUCAGAGAAAGACAAAUACCAUAUGGUUUUAUUCCUGUGUGGAAUUUAAGAAACAAAACAGAUAAACAGAGGGGAAGGAAAGGAAAAAUAAGAUAAGGUGAAAACAGAGAAGGAUGCAAACCAUAAGAGACUCUUAGCCCUAAGGAACAAACUGAGGGUUGCUGGACGAGAGAUGGGGGGAUGGGGUGACUGGGUGAUGGGCAUUAAGGAGGGCACGUGAUGGAAUGAGUACUGGGUGUUAUGUGCAACUGAAGAAUCACUAAAUUCUACCUCUGAAACUAAUAAUACACGAUAUGUUAACUAAGUUAAAUUUAAAUAAAACUUCUGUAAAGGAAGGUCCAUUAUCAACCUUUCACAUAGGCAAUAUACCAUGAUGAAGUAGGAUGAGGAAAACAAAAAAAAAAAAAUUCCAUUUGGAUAGAGGAGAAGGUCAGACACCCAAUGGCUGCUGCUCCGUAACCAUGACUAUACCCCACCCCCUAUCCGGCAGCCCCUGAUUCUCACUCUUGGAGGAACUCUUCAUUUCUUCAUCCUCAAUGUCUCCUGGUGUUACCUUUUUGGAUGUUCUUCUCUGUCCUUUAUCCUUCUUGGCCACAUCCAAGGUGGGCCUUGCAGAACACAUUCUCCUGGGGGAUGAGAAAGCUCUUGGAGCUCACUUCUGGCUAGUAUGUGUCAAGUUGAUUCCAUGGGAAA